AAAAAAACCCAUGGACUGCUUUUUCAGCACCCACCAUUGGGUCGGUCGGUCUCCUGCUGAUGGCUUCUCAUUCUGAUCCUAGCUACCACUCCCCUGAAUUUCCAGUUAUAGUUGACAUCCCCCUUUCAUUGUCUGUCCAGUCUCAAAGGUUCCGACUCUCAGGUAAAAGGUCAAAGAUUUUAAAGCAACAACAAAAACACGCCGGCGGGAGAAAUGAGAGAGACCCGGCCAGACGGGAAACUUUUAUUAGCGGCGAUUGAAGCGAGGAAUUAUGAUGCGCGCCCGGGAUGUGGGCCGUCUAAUAAGUUGCUGGUGUGGCCGGGCGUGUUCCCCCCGAGUUGCUGAGGAAGGAAUCGGGCAUUUCUACCCAAACAAACGCCUCCAAGGUAAGUUUUCUGGAGACUGUCCUCUCUUGCAUGUGUGCGUCUCCCGUCCAUACUACAAAAGAGCGGUUGGAGAGAUCGCUUGCGAGGCGAUCCGUGCUAUGAUGUUCCUGAUUGCCUUUGUAGAGGAAGGAAAGGGAUGUCUGAGGGGGCAUUUCCUUGUGCAAAUGCAGGAAGGGCCGGCCUUAGUUGGCGUGGAGCGCCUCACCCGCUCCUCUUCUCUCCCUUCCCGUCGCAUGGAUCCUCUUGGACAUCUUCCCGUUCAGCCCCGGCUGCUGCCGACCUUUGUUUUGUCUGGCGCGCUCUCUCUUCCUUUCCCUUUGAGGAGCAGACACUCGCUUCCCCCGGUGUCUCGCUUCCCCCUUCGCCCCUUCCGAAAACAGCUCGUUUGUUUCGGGAUCCGUGAAUCUGUCGCGAGCAUGCCGUGAGAAAAACAAACCAACGCGGAGCGGGGACGUGCGGGAGUGAACGAGGAUUUCUCGGGCUCAUUAAAAUGCAAGCGUGUCUUUUAACAGCCAGGCGUUCAUCCAGUCUCGCCCCCACCCUUCCACUCCGUUUCUGGAAGAAGAAGAAAAAAAAGGAGCGGGGAGGAUACUAUAUUUCUCUCCCCCUCCCCUUAUUUCUCUCUCCCCUCCCCACGCGGGCCUUUCAUAGGGGGGCCGAAGAGAGAGAAUCCUGCCAGAUGGAAUGCAAAUAAACGCUCGGUUGCGGAGUUCUGCGGGGAAGGU
rnacentral:lncRNA from 1 species